GGUUGUGUAGUGUAGUGGUGAUCACUCCGGAUUUUGAUAAGCUCUUCAGAAAUUUUCCGGCAACCCCGGUUCGAGCCCGGGCACGACCU